rnacentral:rRNA from 1 species
AAUCAAGCGAGAUUACCGGCUGAACUUAAGCAUAUCAAUAAGCCGAGGAAAAGAAACUAACAAGGAUACCCUUAGUAACGGCGAGUGAAGCGGGUAAAGCUCAAAUCUUAAAAUCUAUGUCUCAAAUGGGGCAUCGAAUUGUAGUUUUGGAUCAUUUUUCCCUCUUCUAUUUAAUAGAUUAAAAUCUCUUGGAAUAGAGUGUCAUAGAAGGUGAGAACCCUGUGAAUAGUCUAGUAAGUAGGAGGAAUUGUGUUAGGUGAUCUUAGAGUCGGGUUGUUUGAGAAUGCAGCCUAAAAUGGGUGGUAAAUCUCAUCUAAAGCUAAAUAUUGGUAAGAGACCGAUAGCAAACAAGUACCGUGAGGGAAAGAUGAAAAAGAACUUUGAAAAGAGAGUUAAAAGUACUUGAAAUUGUUAACAGGG